rnacentral:tRNA from 1 species
GCCGGCGUAGCUCAGUUGGUAGAGCAGGCGCUUCGUAAGCGUCAGGUCGUGAGUUCGAGUCUCUCCGCCGGCACCA